ensembl:snRNA U6 U6 spliceosomal RNA
GUGCUUGCUUCUGCAGCACAUGUACUAAAAUUGGAACAAUACAGAGAUUAGCGUGGCUCCUGUGCACAACACACAAAUUCAUGAAAUGUUUCAUAUUUAA